GGAUGUGAGGGCGAUCUGGCUGCGACAUCUGUCACCCCAUUGAUCACCAGGGUUGAUUCGGCUGAUCUGGCUGGCUAGGCGGGUGUCCCCUUCCUCCCUCACCGCUCCAUGUGCGUCCCUCCCGAAGCUGCGCGCUCGGUCGAAGAGGACGACCUUCCCCGAAUAGAGGAGGACCGGUCUUCGGUCAAGGGUAUACGAGUAGCUGCGCUCCCCUGCUAGAACCUCCAAAAACUCAGGUGACUGCAGAUGCUGGUGAGGAUGUGGAGAAAGAGAAACACUCCUCUAUUGUUGGUGGGAUUGCAGAUUGUACAACCAUU
rnacentral:snRNA from 1 species